AACGUAGGUGGCGAGCGUUAUCCGGAUUUACUGGGCGUAAAGGGUGUGCAGGCGGGCUGUUAAGUGGGGUCUGAAAUAUCCCGGCUCAACCGGGAGAGGUUAUGCCAGACUGGCAGUCUAGAGAGCGAGAGAGGGACGUGGAAUUCCGGGUGUAGUGGUGAAAUGCGUAGAGAUCCGGAGGAACCCCAGAGGCGAAGGCGGCGUCCUGGCUCGCAUCUGACGCUCAGACACGACAGCAUGGGGAGCGAACGGG
rnacentral:rRNA from 1 species